GUGGUGGCGGCGGGGGUGCUGCUCCAGGAGCCGGCUCUGCCGAAGGUAGGAGAUCUGAGCCUGGAGAGAACCCAGAUCCCAAGAGAGGGGAAAGGGGGUGUCAAGUUCGGGGCCUGGGUGGUCUGCCCCCACCCCCUCCCCACACAUGCGCACUGGGCCCACGCCUACCGUCCCACCGCCACCUGACCACGCCCACAACCCCGAGCCUACCUCUGCCUGCUCUCUCCGCAGAGACGUCCCGGGCUCCCCUUCCAGACCCUGGUUCCCCUGCUCCCACCCCGCCCAGCCUGAAGCUCCUGCGCACCUGGGCUGGGUGAGCCGGUGGGCACUCCUGAGGUGGGCACUCCUGGAGGAGUCAGGGCGUCAUUGCCGCUCGGAGUUGCCACGGCGACGGGAAGGAUCUCAAUGGAGACGGCAUCCCCGGGCCCCCGCAGGAUGCGGAUUAACCCCUUCUCCUCCAGCUCCUCCACCUUCAGCUCUAAGGCCGAGGGCCGCGCCGGCACGGAGGUAGGCACUUUCUCGGGCUCAGGAGGACGCCUGGAGGCGCCCAUGGGGGUCGACUCGCUGAAGCGCUCCUGCGAGCCCCGGGGGAGGGGUCAGUGCCUACCAGCAGGCCGGGCUCAGAGCCCCACCCUGCGGCCGCGGUAGGGGAGGUGUCCCUGCAGAAGCCCCCGCGGGUCGGCUCCGGGAAGCCGGGCCCCAGCCUCACCCUCAGGGUCUCCAACUCCUUCCGAGCCUGGCUUAGCUGCUUUUCCAGCUCGGCGAUCUUGGCCAUGGAUUCGUUCUCCGCGUCCCGAAGCUUCUCCGUCAGCUGUGGCACAGCACAUGAAAGCCAGUCCCAAAUGUCCUGCUCCUCCAAGAAGCCCCCCAAAGGAAUCAGGGGACCUGCAGCUUCUCUGCUCAGGCUGGACCAGGAAGCACCAAGACCCUCGGUCUACCUUCCCCAGGAUGGAAAAAAAUGAGACUCCGAGAGAAGAAGAAACCUAUCCAAAGUCGCAUGGGCUUAGAAGCAGAGUCGGGAUUUGAACCAGACCUGCCUGACCUCAAUACCCAGGUUACUAACCACACAGCCCUACUCUGCAGCUGACGAGUGGUUAAGUCCCAGUGAGGGAGAUGCAGGGAGUCCCAGUGAGAGGGAUGCAGGGCUCACCUCCAAGUACAAGUCCAGGCCCAGGUGGGUGAACUCAUAUUGCAGGAAGACACGGAAGUUCAUGUUCUCCACAGAGUGUACCACGAUAUUGAUGAAUUGCAUGCAGGCCACCUGGGGAGCAGAGCCCAUGGGCAGGUCUCUGGGCGGGAGUGCUGCAUACCUUCUGUGCCCCAUAUACUCCCAAGUCUCUUCUCUUCCCCAUUUCUCACUCCAUUAACCCAGCUUUGUCCCUACCCAUACUCUGCUCCCCCAACCCCCUCCCUCCAGCUUCCCUAUCUCUGACAUCCACCCUUCCCCCACCCCCAAACCACUCAGUCCUCACAAUUCACAGGAGCAGAGCCCAGAAGCCAGAUACCCCAGCCCCCUGGCUGCUCCUUACACUGAAGGUGGCCAGGCCCAGCCUGGGCUCCCGAGCUCACCAUGAAAUCAAUGUUGCUGUCUUCUUUCUGGAAAUACUCCAUCAGCUUCUCGAAGCGGUGCUGCUCCCCACACACCUGGGUGGGGAGAAUGGCUGUCACUAGGGCCCAGUGACAUACCUCCUAAGCCAUUUGUAGCCACCACCUUUGUGCUUCUACAGGCUCCUCCACAUUAAAUCUGAGUCAGGCCAUGUCGCUCUUCCACUCAAAACCUCCCCUCCCCUCCCUCUCCAUCUCCCCCAGCCCUCCCUUCACUUACUACACUGGCCACACUGGUAUCCUGGCACCUUCCCACCCCAGGGCCUUUGCACCUGCUGUUCCAGCUGCCUGCUGUUCCUGCUCUUAGUCAAGAUUGCCACCACACCAAGCCUCUCACUUCCUUCACAGGCUUGCUCAAACUUCACCAUCUCCAUGAAGCUUCCCUGACCACCCUGCAACCCAUUUCUCUUGUCCCUCCAGCGGCCUGGACUCAGUCUUCAGAGUGUUCACCAUUUCAGACACACAACCUGCUCAUUUUGUAUACUGUAUAUUAUUAUCUGCCCUCCCUUGCCUUCUUUGUUUCUUUUGCUCACUGAUGUAUCCCAAGUGCUCAGUCUGUGCCUGAUACAUAGUAGGCACUCAACAAGUAUUCAUGAAAGAAAUUAAUGACCAUAUCCCACCCCUAUGCAUCAUAUUCUUAUGCAUCUACUUAGCCAGAGUCAGCAGACAUGUAUAUAUGCAACUCUGAGAUGCAUGGACCAAGUACACUUUGGAUCUGGCCAGGCUGAGGGUCAGAGGUUCAGCAGACCUCCAUAGUUGUCCCUAUCACCCCAGACAGUGCCCUUAUAUGACCUAGCACCUUCCCUCCAAAGCUUCCCCAUCCCAGAUUAUCUUCACCCUGUGCUCCCCAAAUGCCCACCCAACACUCCCAGCUGUCCCCAGAAGAGGCCACAAUUGCCAGCAACAGGCCUGCAAGCAGCACUAGAGAACAAGCACAUGUUUGGGGUGGGGGGACUUCAGUACCUCCUUGAAGUUGUCAAAGGCCGCAAGGAUGAUAUCAUGCCCUCCCCGCACCAGACACACAGCUGCCAGUAGCUCCAGCACCAGAGCCUUGGUUCUAGGGACAGAAGGGCCAGUUUAUUCCUUGAAAGCAGGCCCCUCAACAAGGGUGGGUGUGGGUCUGGCUGGGGGAGAACAGGGCAGCUGAUGGGGAAUAGGGGUGGAAUAAGCCUGGUCAGUAGUCCUGAGAACUGGGGACCAGAGUAGGCAAGGGGUGAAGUGGCAGGAUAAUCUAGAUGUGGAGAAAGGGGAGGGGCCCGGACCUCACCUUGGGUUCUUGUUGUUGAGGCUCAAAGCAAUCUCAUUGACACAGGCUGGGUGGGUCAUGACAAGGCUGAAGCCAGACUGGGGAUAGAAAGGAAAGGUCAGCUCCUCCAGGCAGACACCCAGGACUGCCAGCACUGCUAGCAGUGCCAUUGUAUUCUGGUCUCUCACUGUCUUCAAGCUUGGGAAGUUCUUUAUACCCAACUAUAGCCUUUUCUGUGGCUGCCAAAGCCUGGCCCCCAUUUUUAAAUAACUUUGUUCAAAAGCCAGUGUCAGGAUUCAGCACCUCGGACACAGUGAGCCCUCAAAGGUCUGCUAAGUGAAGGAGCACUUGCCCCACCAGCCACUCCUCCAAACAAAGUAACCCAGAGCUGCUCUCCAUGAGGGUGCUGUGUCCAGCCUUCCUUGGUGGGUGUGCCUAGGUCCCCACAUUAGUCCCCACCAAAGCUUGGAAGUCACCAUGGAAAUGCUCUCCACAAGGUGGCGCUCACAGCCCCAUGGGCUUCUCUUCCAUCUUGGAAGGCCAACUCUGAACUCAGACUCCCUUGGUUCAUGCCCCCAGUCAUGUCCAGGGUACUCCAGAGGACCUGACCGGGAAGGGACAGAAAUCUGGGCUUCCCUUCAUGACUCAGUAGCCUCAAGACCCUCAAUGGCCCCCAUCCCCAGGGUUCUCCAAUGGGGAACAGGGUCAGGGGACAGUCAGUCCCUGAACCUCAGCGGCGUAGACAGCUCCCAGUGAGGACAGGCCCAGCUCCCCAGGUCCCCCAGUGCCUUGUCCCCACUGACCAACCUGGUAGUUCAUGAUGGCACGCAAGCACAUGAUGCACACAUGGACGUCAUCCUUCUGGCUAACAAUGCGAGAAUUCCUCAGGGUCUUCCUGCUGUGGGCAGGGGUCAGCCUGGGUGGAGGAGGGAGGGGGAAGCUGGGAUUAGAGUCCGACUCCCGGCUUCCCACCCCCACCCCACCCUCAGAAGGCACAUUUGGAACAUUAGGCCACUGAUUCCCAUCCACACAACCCAAGAGGCCAGCUGAGGGCAGGAAGGCUUCCUUGGUCCCUAGGCCUUGGGCCUGGCAUGCUGCAAGGGAGUACGGAGAGGGUCAGGAAGGCAAAGACCCUUAACAGCAACUUGGCAUCAAAAGGGUUGCUGUGUUGUGGUAGAGGCCCAAAGAGGGAAAACCACCAAAGCUUGGAAGUCACCACGGAAAUGCUCUCCACAAGGUGGCGCUCACAGCCCCAUGGGCUUCUCUUCCAUCUUGGAAGGCCAACUCUGAACUCAGACUCCUUGGUUCAAACACCAGCUCACCGCUUCUGAGGCAAGUUUACAUGUGCCUCAGUUUCCUCACUUGUAAAAUAGGAAUAGUAAUAAUAGUACCUUCCUGAUCGGGUUUUGGGGACUAUGAAAUGAGCUUCGAACAUUGUCUGAUACAUAGUAAGUGCUAUGAGUGUCCCUGAUAAUUCUUUGCUAGAAAAUAUGGGAUUUUUUUUUCAUUGUGGCAGAACUGCCAAUCAGGAUUUCCACAUCAGUGCCUCUUGACAAUUUUAUCACAUUUCCAACAACACUGGGAAGCCCCACCUCCUCCUUCCAUCUGCCACAUCGUCCGUCUCCUGUCAUUGCUCAAAUAUGCCUGAGUCUUUGUUCAUGCUGUUCCUUCCACCUGGAAUACCCCUCCUUGUCCCCAUCACUGCCUGUAAAGCCUGUAUCCAUCUGUGAGACAUAGAUGCUAUCUCUUCUAGAAAACCUUCCUGAUGCCCCAGGAAGUAGCCACCUCCCCUUUCAGAGCUCCCAGUCACACCUCCAUGAUAGCCUGUCAUACAUUGUCCCCUUCUAGACCAAGGGCUCCCCAGGGCAGGGUGAUCUGUCUCCUGAGCACCUGCCACCAUGCCUGAUGCAUAGGAAACGCUAAAAAAAAUCUGUUAAAUGAAUGAAUGAAUGAAUGAAUGAAUGAGCAAACAAAAAAAACAUACUGCAAGAGUUUUGGGCUUAAUAUGAAGUUGGUCCCUUAGACCAAAGUGGGAAGGAUGGAAGCCAGGGACCAUGUGAGGUCCAGGGGUGUCUCCUUCUCUCUCCCCGCCUCCCAGCAGGAUGUCCUGCAUUAGGGUGGGGUGGCCUAUCCGCAGCAGGUGAACCCAGGGGUGUCAACUGAACACCCUACCCCACCCCCACCCAGGGAGCCAACCAGGCAUGCACCUGCCCCCAGGUGGCUACGUACCGGGGAGAGGGGGGGCACCUGGAGGCCGCACAGGAAAGAAGAGGGGGUUAGACAGGUACCAGGGAGGUCUUACCAACCCAGAAACACCAUCCUCAUCCCAGACCCACCCAGA